rnacentral:tRNA from 1 species
AACCAAAACACACACACACAACACCCAAGCUCUUCACAUAUAAUAUACGAAACAACAACCACCA